CUCAGAAUGUCGACAUGGACGAGUACCCUUGGCCCACACGCCCCCCGACCGCGCGUGCUCGCCACCCGAUUGGCCGGCGGGUAUAAAUGGUGGUGCGCCUGAGCCGCACGCCGCCGCGCAUCGCCUUCCCAAACAGCCGACCAGUCAACUGAACGGCAGCCCAUCAAGCGUCCCAGCCUGUCACUGAGGGGCGCCGCCGCCGGGCCUGGGCGUCCCGGGAACUGCAGGAACGAUGCAGUCGCUGCAGGACAAGGCGUCGGAGUGGAGCGGCGUGGCGGCCGCCGACGCCUUCGCCAUCGACGAGGUCAACGUCUUCGAGGCGCUCGGCGGCACCCCGCAGCCCUUCGUCGACCUCUCCACCAACUUCUACACCAGGCCCGCCCCGAUCUGCUCCCCCCGCCUCCUCUGAUCUGGGUUUCAUUCCCCCCCUUCUCUGAUUUUGUCGUCUGACUUCCUGGCCGUGGUUGGAUCGAUGGAACAGGGUUUAUGAGGACGAGGAGCAGUGGUUCCGGGAGAUAUUCUCGGGGUCCAGGAAGGAGGACGCGAUCCAGAACCAGUACGAGUUCUUGGUGCAGCGGAUGGGCGGCCCGCCGCUAUUCUCCCAGAGGAGAGGACAUCCUGCCUUGAUAGGACGACAUCGGCCAUUUCCAGUUACCCACCAAGCUGCGGAGCGAUGGCUACACCACAUGCAGCAAGCUUUGGAGACUACAGAAAGCAUAAACCCAGAUACAAAAACCAAAAUGAUGAUUUUUUUCAGGCACACUGCAUAUUUCCUUGUCGCCGGUAAUGAGAUGACAAGGCAAACCCAAAGUGUACCUCCCUGCAAACAUGCAACGAGCAAACCAGCUGAGUAGCCGCUCAAGUCUAUCCAGUUGAAUAAUGAUUUCAGCUUCCGUGAUUCCUAUACGAUUCCCAUGUGCAACGGGAUCAAGGUUGUUUAUGCAUUAUAGGAAACAACACGCAUGAUGUUGUAGAGGGGGAGUGACCCAAUCAGAGAGCAUCUCAAAAUUGGUAAAUUUGCGUUCUUGAUCGUACUCCUCUUCUCUCUUGAUUUGAGCUUGAGGGUACAAGUUCUCUGCUCCUGCUAAGGGGAGCACUGCUAUGGUGUAUUGGUGCUCAACUGCUCUUGCUAUUCUAUCCAGUGCCUCUGAUCCAAAAUAAGUGUUUUGGUUUUAGUUCAAAUUUGAAUUAAAACGACGACACUUAUUUUGGAUCAGAGGGAGUAUCAAUUAAUGGUUAAUUAGUAGGUUUCUAAAAUAAAAUUUAGGUUGAUCUUUUAGAAUAAGCUGGGGAGAGGGCAGCUUAUUUCCACAGCUAGCUAUAAGCCCUAAAAGAACUGGCCCUAAGCAAUGCAAGUUCAACCCAGCUUGUUAAUUUUCCUUGAAAGAGAAACUCACCUUGUUGUGCUUAUUAAACAGUAACUUCAACUGCGAUUUCUGAUGGCUUCUUCUCUCGAGUUUUAGAGAAGUAAACCUGUAUCUGUAUGUUUUGUGGUGUUGAGAGAAUUUGCCGUCCAGUUUAUUCCACACAAUAAAUUAUUUGGACAAUGGAUUUGGGGAAGGGAACGUGGCAUGGAAUGAAGGGACGUGGUACAAGCACAAGGAAGGGUACUUGGAUCGAGUGGGCCACCUACAGUUGCAGGCAUGUGCUACCUUGUUGCCUAGAGUAAAAUAGCACGAGGCAGCCUUGUAAACUGAAAUCCAGAUUGCAAAACAUAACACUUGCACUUACACUAUCCAUCUUUAUUACUAGGAGUAGUUCUGAACCGAACUUUCAGGUUCACAUACCCAUUAACAUGGGGGCCAGACUUGCUGUGUUUUUCGGAGUACAAGACGGAAGUUAUUCGUAUGAUCGGAUAUUACUACACUUAGGCUUAGUAUAAGGUUGUUGCAGCAGCUUGUACUGCUAUGCUGGAGGAAGGCAUGCAUCAUGGUCGUCCGAUCCCUCCAUUGUACAGCGGAGGGCAUGCAUCAUGGUCGUCCGAUCCCUCCAUUGUACGGCGGAGGUGCCCCGCGGACGGUGGGGGUAUGGCUGCGGACGGUAGGGUCCACCGCCGGGUGCGCACUGUCCGUGGCACACGGGAUGGUUAGGGUCCAGAGGACGAACUGGAAGGAAAACACAAGCAUCCAUGAUUAUUCAGUUGUAGUAGUGGUAACUUGUCUGCUUCAGAAUGUUUAUAGAAUACUCUGAAACACAAGCAUCCACUACUAGAGUGAGUAUAUUUCAAGGAGGAGAUGACGACGAAGAGGAUGAAAUGAACAGUUUGGAGGCGCUAACCGCGGAUGCCGCCGACUGCAUGGCAGACGGAGCUGCUCAUGAUCACCGCGGAGACGACGAACAGCGCGAUCUGGAGGAGCGCCAUCAAACGGGCAGCUCCGGCGAAGGACGCCAUCGUAACGUGGCUUGGCUUACUGGUGUUGUGAGCGGUGACUAGCUAGUUCGGUGCUUCGAGCUGUGUUUUUUGCGGAAGCUGCUCGCCCAAGGGCUCGUAUUUAUAGAUGUCGACCCCUAUGGCAAAGAGAAAGAUCGCCUUGGCCUAAGCAUUUUC
rnacentral:rRNA from 1 species